UUGUUACGAGANCGAUAGCGAACAAGUACCGUGAGGNAAAGUUGAAAAGAACUUUGAAGAGAGAGUUCAAGAGUACGUGAAACCGUUCAGGGGUAAACCUGUGAAACCCAAAAGAUCGAAUGAGGAGAUUCAUCGUCAGCGUAAUCAGUAUUAAUGCAGGCUAUGAUGUGAUAAUAGAAUCCUCGUGGUCACUAGAUUAUACUUGCUUGUGUUAUUUUUGCUGGGUGUGUCGGCGUGCACUUCUCCUCUAGUAGAACGUCGCAACCCGUUGGAUGUUUAUCUAUGGCCUGAUUGGUAGCCUUUGAUAUAAUUUUAUAUUGNAGACCUUUUGGAGUCCUGAUANNCNGUCUGACGGNAUACAUUAUAGUAUUGAGCCGCNNUUAUUUGCGUNANACUUACUGCAAGNANGGCUU
rnacentral:rRNA from 1 species